rnacentral:rRNA from 1 species
AUACGUAGGUGACAAGCGUUAUCCGGAUUUACUGGGCGUAAAGGGCGUGUAGGCGGUCUUGCAAGUCAGAAGUGAAAUUCCUGAGCUCAACUCGGGCGCUGCUUCUGAAACUGCAGGACUUGAGUGCUGGAGGGGAUAGCGGAAUUCCUAGUGGAGCGGUAAAAUGCGCAGAUAUUAGGAAGAACACCGGUGGCGAAGGCGGCUAUCUGGACAGUAACGGACGCUGAGGGGCGAAAGCGUGGGGAGCAAACAGGAUUAGAUACCCUGGUAGUCCACGCCGUAAACGAUGGAUACUAGGUGUAGGAGGUAUCGACUCCCUCUGUGCCGCAGUUAACACAAUAAGUAUUCCGCCUGGGGAGUACGGCCGCAAGGUUGAAACUCAAAUGAAUUGACGGG